AUACGUAGGGGGCGAGCGUUGUCCGGAAUGAUUGGGCGUAAAGGGCGCGUAGGCGGCCCGGUAAGUCUGGAGUGAAAGUCCUGUUUUUAAGAUGGGAAUUGCUUUGGAUACUGUCGGGCUUGAGUGCAGGAGAGGUAAGUGGAAUUCCCAGUGUAGCGGUGAAAUGCGUAGAGAUUGGGAGGAACACCAGUGGCGAAGGCGACUUACUGGACUGUAACUGACGCCGAGGCGCGAAAGUGUGGGGAGCAAACAGGAUUAGAUACCCUGGUAGUCCACACUGUAAACGAUGAAUGCUAGGUGUAGGGGGUAUCGACUCCCUCUGUGCCGCAGUUAACACAAUAAGUAUUCCGCCUGGGGAGUACGGCCGCAAGGUUGAAACUCAAAGGAAUUGACGGGG
rnacentral:rRNA from 1 species